rnacentral:rRNA from 1 species
UACGAAGGGUGCAAGCGUUACUCGGAAUUACUGGGCGUAAAGCGUGCGUAGGUGGUGAGUUAAGUCUGUCGUGAAAGCCCCGGGCUCAACCUGGGAAUGGCGAUGGAUACUGGCUCGCUAGAGUGCGGUAGAGGAGAGUGGAAUUCCCGGUGUAGCAGUGAAAUGCGUAGAGAUCGGGAGGAACAUCUGUGGCGAAGGCGGCCAUCUGGACCAGCACUGACACUGAGGCACGAAAGCGUGGGGAGCAAACAGG